GAGAGCUGCACGUGCCGACGAGAUUCCGGCAGGGACUAGACACGUAUCAAACGUUGAACAGUCGAUCCAGUCCUUAAGAAGCUCUUCUUGUCCCCAUAUGUCAGGUAUCCAAACUCUUCCGGCGACGUCUCUCCGGUGCUUCUUUAGCUUUUCUCUCCCUGUGUCCACUCUCUCUUCUUCUUGAUUCUGCUUCGGCUUCUCUUCGGGCAAAGCUUGAUCCUCUUUCUUGUCGGUGACAGAAGAAGCUUCAUUGGGCGAACUUGGAUCUUGUUGGGUUUGGUCGGAAGGAGGUUGAGAUGGAACGAUCGGGUGGGCCAUUGGAGAUGUCGUAUCGUCUAUAUUCAUCAUGGUUGAACAAAAGUGAAGCAGAUUCAGAUUCCUGGGAGAA
rnacentral:lncRNA from 1 species